rnacentral:rRNA from 1 species
GACAGAGGGGGCAAAGGUUGUUCGGAAUUACUGGGCGUAAAGCGAGUGUAGGCGGUCUGCUAAGUCGGGUGUGAAAGCCCCGGGCUCAACCCGGGAAGUGCACUCGAAACUGGCAGGCUAGAGUAUCGGAGAGGUUGGUGGAAUUCUCGGUGUAGAGGUGAAAUUCGUAGAUAUCGAGAGGAACACCGGUGGCGAAGGCGGCCAACUGGACGAAUACUGACGCUGAGACUCGAAAGCGUGGGGAGCAAACAGG